rnacentral:rRNA from 1 species
UACGUAGGGUCCGAGCGUUGUCCGGAAUUACUGGGCGUAAAGAGCUCGUAGGUGGUUUUGUCGCGUUGUUCGUGAAAACUCACAGCUUAACUGUGGGCGUGCGGGCGAUACGGGCAGACUUGAGUACUGCAGGGGAAACUGGAAUUCCUGGUGUAGCGGUGGAAUGCGCAGAUAUCAGGAGGAACACCGGUGGCGAAGGCGGGUCUCUGGGCAGUAACUGACGCUGAGGAGCGAAAAGCGUGGGGGAGCGAACAGG